AUAGCUCUGAUAUUCAUACCGAACAACGCCAGCACAGAACAACAGAACAUCAUGAACUCCGCCAAAGUCACCGUCUUGUUCCUGAUCGCCAUCUGCAUUUCGUAUUCCCUUGCAAGCAACAAAAGAGAAAUGGAUCGUUCAGUAUCAACAUCGACUUCAACAUCAACAUCAACUUCAUCCUCUACAUCUUCGUCUACUGAAAAUGGAGGAGAAGGAUUUGCACCUUCAAUUCUCGGAGCCAACGG